GAGACCUGCAUAUAUAUAUAGUGAUAGUAUUGAUAUCUAAACUCAAUGAAGCCCUCUCUGGUGGUCACUCUUUUGCUUCUGUUCACUCUUCUUUAUGAAGCUCAAGGAACAAAUAGAAAACUCGUGACAAAACCUAUAUCUUCUAGUACUACUACAAGUGCUACCCUCAUCCCUUCCAAGAAUCAUGAGAAUGAUGGAAAUACGAAAAUGAAAUCUAUGGGAGGAAAUCUUGCAAUUAAUUCAACACCAAAA